rnacentral:rRNA from 1 species
UGGCGGCGUGCUUACACAUGCAAGUCGAGCGAUGAAGUUUCUUCGGAAAUGGAUUAGCGGCGAACGGGUGAGGAACACGUGAAGAAUCUGCCCUCCACUUUGGGAUAACACCGGGAAACCGGUGCUAAUACUGAAUAUUGAAACAUAAGUGGCAUCACUGAGUUUUGAAAGAAUUUCGGUGGAGGAUGACUUCGCGGCCUAUCAGCUAGUUGGUGAGGUAAUGGCUCACCAAGGCAACGACGGGUAGCCGGCCUGAGAGGGCGACCGGCCACACUGGGACUGAGACACGGCCCAGACUCCUACGGGAGGCAGCAGUGGGGAAUAUUGGGCAAUGGAGGAAACUCUGACCCAGCGACGCCGCGUGCGGGAUGAAGGCCUUCGGGUUGUAAACCGCUUUCAGUAGGGAAGAAGCGAAAGUGACGGUACCUACAAAAGAAGCACCGGCUAACUAUGUGCCAGCAGCCGCGGUAAUACAUAGGGUGCAAGCGUUGUCCGGAAUUAUUGGGCGUAAAGAGCUCGUAGGUCGUUUGUUACGUCGGAUGUGAAAACCUGAGGCUCAACCUCAGGCCUGCAUUCGAUACGGGCAAACUAGAGUUUGGUAGGGGAGACUGGAAUUCCUGGUGUAGCGGUGGAAUGCGCAGAUAUCAGGAAGGAACACCNAUUGGCGAAGGCAGGUCUCUGGGCCAAUACUGACACUGAGGAGCGAAAGUCUGGGGAGCGAACAGGAUUAGAUACC